AUAAUGGGUCAGCGACUUAUAUUCUGUAGCAAGGUUAACCGAAUAGGGGAGCCGAAGGGAAACCGAGUCUUAACUGGGCGUUAAGUUGCAGGGUAUAGACCCGAAACCCGGUGAUCUAGCCAUGGGCAGGUUGAAGGUUGGGUAACACUAACUGGAGGACCGAACCGACUAAUGUUGAAAAAUUAGCGGAUGACUUGUGGCUGGGGGUGAAAGGCCAAUCAAACCGGGAGAUAGCUGGUUCUCCCCGAAAGCUAUUUAGGUAGCGCCUCGUGAAUUCAUCUCCGGGGGUAGAGCACUGUUUCGGCAAGGGGGUCAUCCCGACUUACCAACCCGAUGCAAACUGCGAAUACCGGAGAAUGUUAUCACGGGAGACACACGGCGGGUGCUAACGUCCGUCGUGAAGAGGGAAACAACCCAGACCGCCAGCUAAGGUCCCAAAGUCAUGGUUAAGUGGGAAACGAUGUGGGAAGGCCCAGACAGCCAGGAUGUUGGCUUAGAAGCAGCCAUCAUUUAAAGAAAGCGUAAUAGCUCACUGGUCGAGUCGGCCUGCGCGGAAGAUGUAACGGGGCUAAACCAUGCACCGAAGCUGCGGCAGCGACGCUGAUGCGUUGUUGGGUAGGGGAGCGUUCUGUAAGCCUGUGAAGGUGUGCUGUGAGGCAUGCUGGAGGUAUCAGAAGUGCGAAUGCUGACAUAAGUAACGAUAAAGCGGGUGAAAAGCCCGCUCGCCGGAAGACCAAGGG
rnacentral:rRNA from 1 species